rnacentral:rRNA from 1 species
AUUGAACGCUGGCGGCAGGCCUAACACAUGCAAGUCGAGCGAGCGGCGGACGGGUGAGUAAUGUCUGGGAAACUGCCUGGUAGUGGGGGAUAACGUCUGGAAACGGGCGCUAAUACCGCAUACUAUCAGAUGAGCCCAGAUGGGAUUAGCUAGUAGGUGGGGUAACGGCUCACCUAGGCGCCGAUCCCUAGCUGGUCUGAGAGGAUGACCAGCAACACUGGAACUGAGACACGGUCCAGACUCCUACGGGAGGCAGCAGGGGGGAAUAUUGCACAAUGGGCGCAAGCCUGAUGCAGCCAUGCCGCGUGUGUGAAGAAGGCCUUCGGGUUGUAAAGCACUUUCAGCGGGGAGGCGUUACCCGCAGAAGAAGCACCGGCUAACUCCGUGCCAGCAGCCGCGGUAAUUC